UAAUAAUCUUCGUUUGUUUUUGUAGGCUGUUUAUUCGUACUGUUUUUGCCGCUGAAAGUGUGUAGUUAGUUUUCCUUCAAUGUUUUAAGUUUUUAACUUGUUAUUUAGUUGUUUUUAACUUUACUACCCGACAAGUUUUUCCCCUUUCUGGAAAAAUGCUUAAUUCGUACGUUUUGAUAAUACCGCUUUUAUUAAUACUACUGCUACUGCUGCUACAACAUCAUCUGACAACAGCUGAUGCAGUUGCUGCCUGUAACAACGUGGAUCGCUCUGACAUCGAGCGCCGAUUAUCCACAAAGACACCAUAUCGUGCCAUUGCCAAUUAUAAUGAUUCUUCGCCAAAAUACGAUGGUUGCCACCCGACGCGAGUUUGGGCCAUAAUACGCCAUGGAACUCGAAAUCCCAGCGAAUCAGUUAUUUUGCAUGCAAAAAGACGACUAACUGAAAUCAAGGCACUCCUUUUGAAACAAUCGGAACCCAAUUUCUGCGCAGACGAACUAAAUCAGCUGCGGCACUGGAAUUGGGACCACAUCGAUGCGAAUGAUGAAAAACUGUUAGUUGCCGAGGGCGAAGAUGAAUUAAUUGAACUCGCCGAACGCAUGCAAUCGCGCUUUCCCAAUCUACUGCCCGAUAUUUACAAUCCAGAAUGGUUCUAUAUGAAAUACACCGCCACACAGCGUACGUUGAAAAGCGCUCAGAGUUUUGCAACUGGAUUAUUUGGACGGCAUCGCAUACACGCCAUUACCUAUCCAGAACCAUUGCAUCGUGAUCCAGUUCUAAGGUCUGGCAGCCCUAUGCAUACCAAAUCAACGGUGGCCACGAAUGAAAGAAUAGGCAUAAUGGAAGAGAUAGACGAACAAGCACAUAAGCAUACACAGCACACACACACACACACGCAUAUAGUGAAAAAGAGGAAUACGAAGUGCCGCAAGUGCGUAUUUCGUACUUAAGUCAGCGUGCGUCCUGUCAAUUGCUACUCGACGCUAUUCAUUUCAAAAACAAUUGUUUACGUCAUUUUUGUUUCUGUGUUCUGUUAUUUGUUGAUUUGGGCAAUUGAAAAACGCAGCAGCGCAACUCGGACAACGCCGUCGCCGUCGCCGUUGUGGUGAAGCUGCAAAAUUGUUUGGUUAUGUGCAGCAGCAGAAGCAGCAGAAUUACCCGUCGUUGUUUUCGUCCUUCUCUUCGCCUACGUUUCAGUCGUUGUUGUUGUUGUUGCUUGUCGUCGUCGUCGAUGUGCAUGUGCAUGCUGCUGUAAUUACAUAGACAAUUUUUGUGGAAUUGCAACAACAACAAUUGCCAAUAAAUUUAAAACGGCAAAAGGAUGGCGCUGCAAUUGCCAAUUUCGACGAUUGCCACCAGAGAGCGCAGUAGCAG
rnacentral:misc_RNA from 1 species